rnacentral:misc_RNA from 1 species
GGAAUGCAACCAAGAUGUGUGCAGACGCCAAUCACAAUAAGCCAUUCUGGGUCCUUAACUCUCUCACCAUCCUGCUGUGGGUCACGAAGAGAUCCGACAUCGACACUAUUUGCUAACUUAAUAUCUUCCUCUGUUCGUCUUCUGAUGAAUACUGGUUUUCCACGCCACUUAACCGUCACAGUAGCACCAGGCUCAAUGCUUGAGAGGUCAACCUCAAGUGAGGCAAGGGCAAGAACGUCCUUACUGGCAGACAUGCUAAGAACAAACUUGAGAACAAGGAGACGGAUCAAAGAAGCAUAGACAAACCGACCACCUGACAAGACAAAAUAAGCAAAUGCCCGCUUGCUGGGGUCACCAGGAGGAAAUCGCUCAUGAUUGUAGUCGUCAUAGACUAUCUUUGAAGAAGGGUUCUUAAUGGCAGCUACAGUUGCAGGAAUAUCCAGAAUUAAGCCAUCAUCCUUGGUUGAGGUCAAUGCAUCAGAAGCAAAACCUCUACAGUUACGAUCAAAGUGGGGUCCAAAAGGGAAGGUGUUGAAGGAUCUGAAAUCAUUGGAAGGGGCGGAAUCAGAACCAUCGAUGAUCUUGUGAGAACUGGGCAAAGAAGAGGCAAUAGUGGGCCUGAAAUGCGAAGAAGAGAGUGACGAGAGCCUUCGAGCUGCAAUCCUCAACAUCUUCGUCAACCUUCAGGUUUUCGAUUUGGAGGGAUAUUGAGAAACUCAGAAGAAGGCGAUAGAAGAAGAAGAAGAAGAAGA